CAGCCGUAAACUAUGCGCGUUAGGUGUAUCGGUGACCACGAGUUACCGAGGUGCCGAAGGGAAACCGUGAAACGUGCCGCCUGGGAAGUACGGUCGCAAGGCUGAAACUUAAAGGAAUUGGGCGGGGGAGCACCACAACAGGUGGAGCCUGCGGUUUAAUUGGACUCAACGCCGGGAAGCUCACCGGAUAGGACAGCAGAAUGAUUGCCGGGCUGAAGACCCUGCAUGACUAGCUGAGAGGAGGUGCAUGGCGUCAGUGACU
rnacentral:rRNA from 1 species